UUUUGAGUCAAGUAGUAAAUUUUCAAGCUGGCAAUCCCAUGCGAAAGCUGGUCAUUUUUCAAGAGUGGGCUUAUCCAAAUUUUCUUGGAGAUGGAUCAAUGACAAAACUUGGGACCAGGGAAAUCAAGGUGUCAUGAUGCCACUUGGUGAUCCCAGAUUACAGCUAGAAUGGGCAUUCCUCGAAUCCAAGAAACCAAAACCUAAACUAGUGGAGGUUCUUUCAUCUCUAGAAGCUAACUUUCUGUCUUCCUGUGAGCAAUAUACAUCUUUGCUUCAAAUUUUCAAUUAUCCCAUUGCAUUUGCAGCUUUUGUUUAUGCUUUGAAUACAUCUUUGCUUCAAAUUUUCAAUUAUCCCAUUGCAUUUGCAGCUUUUGUUUAUGCUUUGAACAAAGUAAAGCUUAUGUUCUUGCGCCUAAAAGAUAGUUUUUCUCACACGUUAAAAAUACCUGAUGUUCUGGAAGAAUUUUUUUUUUCUCCAGUUUGCAUUCGCAGGCACCUGCAGCUAGACGAGCUAAGUAUUAUUGGUCUUUCCAUUCUGGGAAGACAUUUGCUAUUUAUGUCCAAGUCGUGCUUUUCUCUGCCUUUAUUGCUCUGUGUUCGUGGAUGUUUUAAAGAUUGAUCAAGUUUAUAAUUCUCAACUAUGCCUUGACAAGAAGCUGCCCAAUUUCCACCAUAAAGCGGUUGAUUGAUUACAAAUUGGCAUUGCAGGUUGUUCAGUAUCUAGAGCUCCCCCAAUUCUCUAAUCAGGGAUCCGACGCCUGUUCAAGGCAUCCUCAAAUCGAGAGCAUGAGUCUAUUCUCAUCUCUGUACAAGUAUCAUUCUCAGGUGCAGGGUAAUAAUCUUCCCUCAGCUGGACAUCCCUGAGUGUUGGUAUUUUCAACAGAAACAUCAUGAAAUGUUCAUUGGCUGUGCCAUGAAUAAAUAGCUUCCUUAACCUCCCACACUGAGCCAGCAAUCCAGCUGCUGGGAGAGUGAGGCUUCUUUGAUUAACAUCAGUGUCCUGUGGAGGCCAAUAAUCAAGCUCGGUCAGGUUCAAGUUACCAAUCCCUUUCAGGUAGAAUCUCUCCCAAGGACUUAAAUCCGCAAGCCCAGAAGGGGCUGUCAGGGCAAACCCUAUUGCAGCUCCACAGUUCAAACUCAUCUUCCAAAGCCGAUGAUAGCACGCAAGAGUGCUUAACCCAAAUGCAUUUGUAGGCCUUGGUCGAUGCCUGCAAUCACCUUCAACUUUGAUUUUAAUUUCCUCCAGGACAGGGCAAUCCUCCAAUCCUGACAACUUCAAUGGAGUCAACAACUCACCAACAGGAAUCCAGAGGGAAAGAAACUCUAGCCGAGCCCAAGUCCUAGAAGAAUGCUCAUUUCCAUUACCAUUGAAAUUCUUGCUUUUCUUCCUUGAGCUUGUUUCUUCCCAGAUACCACCUCUCUUUUCUGACGGGAAGUACCUGCGGUCAGCAGAUUCACCUGAAACGCUAGGUCCCCCUCCAAACUGUUCAACAUUUUCCCACACACAAUCUAUAUGCAAUCGUUGUAUCUGGUCUUGAAUUGGCUCCAGAGCCCUUAAGGAGCACACAGCAUUUAGGUGCUUGCAACCAGAGAUUUUCACAUCAAUCAAUGUUUUUUGGAGAAUAGAGGCCAAUUUAUUCAUCCCCAUUUCAGUGAUCUUCUUGCAACCCUGGACCUCAAACUUGGCCAGUCUUGGACAGCCAAGGGAGAUCGCUAUCAGGCAAGAAUCAGUCAAGUCAGCAGAGUUCUUGAUUGACAAUGAUUCUAAUCUGCUGCAAAGAGCAAUCCCAUCCGGCCUAGCAUCUAUUCCCCUACAGAUUCCAUGAAAUUGUCCCAACUUCAAAGAUUUAAGUCUUGGGCACUUGGAAUUAAGCACUUCCACUGCUGGCCAAGUAUCCCUGACAUUGUGGCAGACAUCAAGAACCAAUUCUUCAAGCAAUGGCAAUCCAGCAAACAUGUCUGCAAGCGUAGCAUGGCUGAUUCUAGCAUCCUCAGAAGUGUAUCCAUCAUCAUCCGGGUCACCCCUGGCAUCAGAUAAGGAACCAGUGUCAACAAGGUGAAGAAUGGAAAGGCGAGGACAAUUUGAAGCAAGACAUAGCAGGGUUUCAUCUCCCACAAAACCAAUGAAUCUAUGAUCAAAUACACAAGUUGCAAGCAAUUCGCGGAGAUUUGGGCCGGCAGCGGAAAUGGCAAGAAGCUCAUGGGACUUGAAUCCCUCUGCAGAAGAGUGGGUAAGGAUAUUUAGAUGGGUUAGAGAAGCAGCAAUGGAAGGGUAUGCUUCGAGGGCUGGUGGCAGAUCUUCUGUCCAGCAGUAGAAAUGGGACAGAUCAAGCCAAGCAAGUGAACUGUUAUGCUCAAACAGUGCAACAAAUUCAGAACCCGGAGCCGUAGGUGAUCUCUGGUGCCAGCGAACGAGCUUAACCUUGCUUAAACAAGGCCAUUGGGGAGCAAGAAGUUGAAGAGUUGAAGGAUUCCUGGCAUAAACAGUGAGAGAAGCAACAGAGGGAAAAGCCCUACGGAUAAGCUGAGCAAGAAGUUUAGGGUUGGAAGAGAAAUCAAAAAUCGGGUGGCCCCAAGGGGAGAGGAAAGAGAGGUCAAGAUCAGUGACAGCUCGAAAGCAAGUUGGGAGGAGAAAGAGGUCACGGAUAUUGCCUCUCAGAGUGAGAGAGGUGCGAGUGGAUCGCUCUAUCAAGUGCCACUUGACGCAAACAAGGGACAUGGAAUUACGGGUACGAAUAUCAGUGAUCAAGGAAAAUAUAUUGGAAAGAAUUACAUCCGGAAUAGCAUGAAAAUGAACACUGCUUAGGGUUCCAGCCAUUUUGUCAACUGUAACUAGACAUGCAAACGCUCACAUAUGAAUAGCUAGAGAAAUGCAAUGGAACAUGUAUAACUUGGAAGGGGAUAAGAUAAAUAUAUAUAGAACCCGAACCUUACGAUCUUUAUAUAUAUAGCAGGGAUCAUGAGGAUCGUGCCUGAAAAGAAAAAAUUCAAGAACGCAAAUUGGAGACUUGUGGGAGCAGAUUAAAGGGAAGUCUUUAUGUGGUGUGAGAAUGAAGAUAAAGACGCAGGAAAACAUACUAAACCCGGCCUACUCUCUGUGUGAGGGUGAAGAUGAAAGAUUCAAGAAUGGAGACAGGUGAGUUAAGAGAGAGAGAAUCUUGACAAGGUGUGAAAAUGAAGACAAAGAUACAGUAGUGGGAACUGGUGGCGGCCUGAAGAGAGAGAGGGGGUCUCAUACUUAUCAUGAAGAAGAUAAAGAUACGACUACUGGGACUGGUGGCAUUAGAGAAUAAGGCAAAGAGAGAGAGAGAGAGGAGCUGUAGGGAUGAAGAUAAAGAUACGGCGACUGAAACUGGUGGUUUUAGAGAACUCUAAAUGAGAGAGGACAUGUAGGGUUGAAGAUAAAGAUACAACAGUGUAAUAGUGUGUUGCGAGAGUAAGUGGCUGGUGGGAUGCCACUUGCCAUACACUGUUCUCAUGUUGAUCAUGAUACACACCCUUUUAUUAUUCUUUUUUGAAAUCUUUCUCACCUUUUUUGGAUAUCGCAGGGCACCCCUUUUUUCUUCCCCAGAAAAAAAUUGUAUUGUAUGUUACUUCGACUUGUUUCAGCCAUGGAUAUGUGUUAGUCCCUUGGCUGCAGUAAUACCACUUGCCUAAUCCUUUCCAUUUUAUAAUUCCUUUUCCCGUUUAAAAGCAAUAAUUAUUUGAAUAAUUGAAUUCCAG
rnacentral:misc_RNA from 1 species